rnacentral:rRNA from 1 species
UACGAAGGGGGCUAGCGUUGUUCGGAAUUACUGGGCGUAAAGCGUGCGCAGGCGGCUGCUCAAGUCAGGGGUGAAAGCCCAGAGCUCAACUCUGGAAUUGCCUUUGAGACUGAGUGGCUUGAGUACGGGAGAGGUGAGUGGAAUUCCGAGUGUAGAGGUGAAAUUCGUAGAUAUUCGGAAGAACACCAGUGGCGAAGGCGACUCACUGGACACGUAUUGACGCUGAGGUGCGAAAGCGUGGGGAGCAAACAGG